UACAGGAGGGUGCAAGCGUUAAUCGGAAUUACUGGGCGUAAAGCGCACGUAGGUGGCUUGAUAAGUUGGGUGUGAAAUCCCCGGGCUUAACCUGGGAAUUGCAUUCAAGACUGUCUUGCUAGAGUGUGGAAGAGGGAAGCGGAAUUCCAGGUGUAGCGGUGAAAUGCGUAGAUAUCUGGAGGAACAUCAGUGGCGAAGGCGGCUUCCUGGUCCAACACUGACACUGAGGUGCGAAAGCGUGGGGAGCAAACAGG
rnacentral:rRNA from 1 species